GCGUGCCGCUGCAGCCCCUCGCCCUCCGGCCCCCCCAGCCGCAGGGGACGAGCUCCACGUGCAGGUGAGGGGCGCCGGGGGGGGGGAAGCGGCGUGGGCUGAGACCGGCCAACUCGCCGCACGUGUGGGGAGGCCCCGUCCGGCUCACGGGGCUCUCGCGUCUCUCGGCAGCGCCCGGCCCGCGGAGGGGGGUCCCGCCGGCGCCGCCAAGGCGGACGGCGACUCCGUGCCGGAGCUGGCGGCCGCCCUGGCGGGGCUGGGGCUGGGCCAGGCUGCCGUGGGGCCCGCCGGUGCCCUCGGCCUGGCCCGCCGCGUCCCGCUGAGGGGCACCCCGGGGUGCCCCCCCUCCGCGGUGAGUCGCCCGGGGGGCGCGGGACCGGGCAGGGGGCUCCCCCGGCCCCGGCGCCCCGCUGACGUCUCCCCCUCCCCAGGAGCGCCGGGCCUCGGUGCUGGGGGGCCCCACGGGCACCCCCCUGCUGGAGAGCAGCCCCACGGCGCGGCGCCCCACGGGCGCCGAGACCCCGGCGGCAGCCGGCACCGCGGACGCCCGCUUCCGCUCGCCCUUCGGCUCUGCCCGCCGCGUGCCCGUCACCCGGGUGGAGGUGGGUAUCGGGGGGGUCCCACCGGCCCCUCUCGUCCCCGCAGCGCCUGCAGCUCCGCAGCCAGCGGCCGCCCCUCUUCCGCACGCCCUGYGCCCGGCGCCCGCCGGCGGGUGCCCAGCAGACCCCCGGGGCGCGCUGGGGGCUGGCCCUGUCCCCCCAGGCCAGCCCCGACACCAAGCCCUGCGCCGCCGAGCGCGCCGGCCCGGCCCAGGACACGACCGUGGUGCGGCUCUUCGUGGGGGACGAGGGACGGCGGG
rnacentral:lncRNA from 1 species